AUUAAUAUGGCAGAAAAGUGCAAUGAAUUUAAACUUCAUAAAUAAAAUUUUUAUUUUUAUUAAUA
rnacentral:tRNA from 1 species